GUCCUAGCCCUAAACGAUGAUAAUUAGGUGUGGAAGGUAUCGACCCCUCCCGCGCCGAAGCUAACGCAUUAAAUUAUCCGCCUGGGGAGUACGGCCGCAAGGUUGAAACUCAAAGGAAUUGACGUGGGCCCGCACAAGCGGUGGAGCAUGUGGUUUAAUUCGACGCAACUCGAAGAACCUUACCUGGGCUUGAACUACUCGUGGUAAGUUGCUGGAAACAGUGACUUACCCGCAAGGGAGCGAGCAGAGGUGCUGCAUGGUUGUCGU
rnacentral:rRNA from 1 species